AUUGAACGCUGGCGGCAGGCCUAACACAUGCAAGUCGAGCGGAGUGGCGGACGGGUGCGUAAUGCCUAGUAAUCUGCCUGGUCGUGGGGGAUAACGUCCGGAAACUGGCGCUAAUCUCGCAUACUAUCAGAUGAGCCUAGGUCGGAUUAGCUAGUUGGUGGGGUAACGGCCUACCAAGGCGCACAUCCGUAAAUGGUCUGAGCGGAUGAUCAGUCACACUGGAACGGAGACACGGUCCAGACUCCUACGGGAGGCAGCAGUGGGGAAUAUUGGACAAUGGGCGAAAGCCUGAUCCAGCCAUGCCGCGUGUGUGAAGAAGGUCUGCGGAUUGUAAAGCACUUUAAGUUGGGAGGCGUUACCAACAGAAUAAGCACCGGCUAACUUCGUGCCAGCAGCCGCGGUAAUAC
rnacentral:rRNA from 1 species